GAAAAACAAAGUGAAGUGCGGCGGGCGGUAGGAGGAAGAGAAGAAAAGAGAGAGGGUAGCCGAAGAGAAGAAAGGGGAGGAGAAGGUCGCCAUUUCAAGCUUCAUCAACACAUUCAAAUCCCGAUUAACAUUAAUUUUAAGAUUAAUGGAAAGUGAAAGUGAAAAUCAAAACGCGAAUGUUGCGGAAGCCGACUUGCCGGAGAUUGACCUUCCUCUCGACAAAACCAGAUAAGAUCAAAUCAAAUCGCAUUUUUGCAUCAAAUCUUCAAAGAAUCAAAGAUUAAUGAAAAGUGAAAGUGAAAAUCAAAACGCGAAUGUUGCUGAAGCUGACCUGCCCGAGAUUGACCCUCCUGCUGAAAAUCAAAACACUGAUGAUUAUGUUGUAGAAGUCGAGUCAGGUUCGUGUCCGGAAGAAAAAAAACCAGGUAACUAUAACCGUCCAUUACAACCUUCCAUUACAUUCUUCCUAAACAAUGAAGAAAUUGCUCCUAUCAAAUAUCAGCUCUUGCACUAGUGUUACUCUGGCUCACCUACUCCGUCGCCGGAAAAUUGAAGGUCGUCGGAGCAAUGUAAAUCAAAACUCGCCGGAGAUAAGUCGUUUUGAAAAAUGACGAAAUGACAGUAAAGAUCAAAAAGAAAAGGAGAAGAAGAAGAAGAGGAAUGAAAGAUUAAAAGAAAAAAUAAAUAAAGAAGAAGAUGUAUAUGUAUAUGCCUGUAUAUACUAGAGACAAGCUGCAUAAUGUAUCUAGACUUGAUUUAGUCCAUGUUCAUUUUGAAUGUAAUAAGCGGAAGCAAUUGGCAUCCGCUCACACUUAUCUAUAUAAAUAUAAUAUAAUAUAAUUCUCUCUAAAAUAAUUAAAUGACUUAUACACACAAAUACAUAUAUAUUACAACAACUCACGAUUAAACAUAAUGAGAGGAUUAGUUAUUUGAAAUUUAUAAAUAAAUUAGAAAAAACAAAUCAAUAUUAAGUCUAAGAAAAUAUAUAAAAUAUUAUAGACCCGUCUAGAGAGCACACAUAAAACACAUUUAAGAAAUUUUAAUAGCUUAAAAGAAUUGAAAACAUAUAUAAUUUUGUAUUACACAAGUCCAACCAAUAACAGGGUAAAAGAGUUAUGUAUUUUGAGUGUAGUAACUGAGACAAUUUAUGAAUUUGGCUAAUCAGGUUCUUAUUUUUUCCACCCGGCUGGACUUUUACAUAUAUAUAAAUAUUAAUGGCCUAUCAAAAUUCCACAUGGGCUGGGGCCAACUCCAGCCCCUCUUAUGGUCCGCCCCGUAUCAGUUUUUGAGAAGGUUUAGGGUUUUUUAGGGGUCAACUCUUUUGUCUCCAUGUAGAAAUCCCGAUCAGGAAGAGUUUGUUUCUUGUUCUUUUUUGCUUGCGUUGUCAAUUUUGAGAAUGAGUGUCACCCUCUCUCCUGAUUUGCAUAAAAAAUGAACAGAAAAUUAUCCUUCCCCACAAAUUUCAUUAGUCCAUCAUUUCUACUUCUGUUUGGUAUAGAAAAGAACAGUGAACUUUUGCUUGGAUAUAUAUAUAUAGGAAUUUGAAGGCGUUAUUCUAGAUCCUUAUAAUAUAUAAAUUUUAAUAAUAAAAUUAAAAUUAGUUUUGUUGGGAAGUCCCUUUUCCGAGUAACUAGGUAAACA